AGCAGCGCGGCCGCUCCGGAAAAAGCACACAAACAAAAGUGAAGAGGAAGCUCGCGGCAUCGUAAGCAGGACGCCGAUAGAUUUCCUUCAGAGAGUAAGUAGCUGCUCGCCCUUCGAUGACGCAUUUUAAGCAAGUAAUCAAGUCCACGGUAAUUGAAUACGUGGUGUGCAUGCGGAGGUACGCGACGGGGAGGAGAGGAGAGGGGAAGGAAGAGGACGAGGGGGUGUGCAAGCAGACUGGAACACAGCAGAGAAGAAAGAUGAGGCGAGAGGAGACAAGGGGACGAGGAGCGCGGAGGACACAAGUAGAAAGCAAACAGGAGGAUAGGAAAGAAGGGAAAGAGAGGAUUUGAGGUGGAAGGGGCGGAUCAGAAGAAAGCGAGACGCGAGGGACUAGGAAAAGGGGGUGAGGUGACGGAGGCGAGGGAAUGGAAAGGCCCCGCGUGAAGGAGAAGCGGUGGGGGAAGCAGGAGAGGGAACAGGAGGGGAAGCAGAUGGAGAGAAAGAACAAAGAAGCACGAGAAAGAGAGGAAAGCGACAGCAGAGGAUCCUAACCAGCCAGAUAUUCUACAUCCACCGCUCCGCAUUUUGGAAAAGGAAGAGGAGCAGCAGAUGAAGAGCGGGUGGAUGGAAAGGGAACACGCUGCGGAGAACGUCUCCUCUCCGCCGGCUCGCCCCUCCAUUUCCCUCCCCGAGAUCAAUCUAUUCUCUCUCUCUUUCCUUCUCGCUCUCAGUCCCUCUGCAUUCCUUUCAAGUGCUCCCGAUACCAGCUCCCCAGCAGAACCCGCACACGCAGCCAAACAGGAGCUGCGGUUUGACUAUUCAUGAACGGCAAAGGCACACUAAAAGCUCCAGUGAGACAAAGAGGGGGAGAUGUGUGAAGGACACACUUCUCCCCGGGGAUAAAAAAA